rnacentral:rRNA from 1 species
AUUGAACGCUGGCGGCAUGCCUUACACAUGCAAGUCGAACGGCAGCACGGGAGCAAUCCUGGUGGCGAGUGGCGAACGGGUGAGUAAUAUAUCGGAACGUGCCCAGUCGUGGGGGAUAACGCAGCGAAAGCUGUGCUAAUACCGCAUACGAUCUAAGGAUGAAAGCGGGGGAUCGCAAGACCUCGCGCGAUUGGAGCGGCCGACAUCAGAUUAGCUAGUUGGUGGGGUAAAGGCCCACCAAGGCGACGAUCUGUAGCUGGUCUGAGAGGACGACCAGCCAAACUGGAACUGAGACACGGUCCAGACGCGGACGGGAGGCAGCAGUGGGGAAUUUUGGACAAUGGGCGCAAGCCUGAUCCAGCAAUGCCGCGUGCAGGAUGAAGGCCUUCGGGUUGUAAACUGCUUUUGUACGGAACGAAACGGCCCUUUCUAAUACAGGGGGCUAAUGACGGUACCGUAAGAAUAAGCACCGGCUAACUACGUGCCAGCCGCCGCAGUAAUAC